GCUGCUUACUCUGCAUUUUUCAUCGGGAGAAAUGUGGGCUUGAAUGGAAGCCAGCGUUGACUCUACAGAGUUUGACUCCCUGCUGGACAAGAAACUCUACAGGUGCCUCUACCUUUCUCUUUCAGGGAGAGUUCGUCUUUAAGCCAGGAUUGCCGAACAAUGGAGGUACAGAAGAUAGAAGAACAAAUGAAAUGACACCAUGAGAAAGCAAUCAGCAUGAUUCAGAAGUUAGAAUAUUCUAUAGGAAAAUACUGACCUAGUUUUCAACAAAUCAUUGUCAUGAAAACUGCAGGUCUGUUUUAGAUUAGUUGUAAUUUUAGAAGCACAAUAAAAAGCAAAUCAUUUGUGAUAAUUCAGGGGAAUUGGAGGGAAUAUGAGGGGAUUUUUAUUAAAUUACAAUAAGAACUAUUAUUAAUUUUAUCUUGCAUGAUAAUGAAAUGUGUUUAUGUAGGAAAAUUUAAAUUCUGUUUUCAUUAUAUUGUAGAAAAAUAUAAUGAAAUAUCGAGGUAAUAUGAGGUCUGAUAGUAUAUUUAAAAUAUUUCAGAAAAAUAGAUUAGACUAAAAAUAUUAGAAAUAUUAAUAAAUUUAAGACCUUGAUGAUAAGUAUAUGAAUGUUAAUUAAACCAUUCUUUUAAAUUUCUAUAUAAUUAAACAUUUUAUAAAAUAUUUGCUAUAAAUAAAUACAAUUAAAUAGAAUUGUUAAUCAUUGACCAAACCAGAUUGAUAAACAUCAACCUUAGUAGGCAGAAAAGUCAGAAGAAAGACAUUUGGAAUGUUAUAAUUGCAGACCAAUGAGCUUGGUGAACAAUAAUUACUGAUCAGACAUAAAUAGCUACUGUGAAAAUGUAGUUAUAGGCUGAGCUGGGUCGGAGAUAGAGUUACGGAUUGCAAUCAGUUCUCAAAAUAAAGGGAGCCACAGUUGAUGUGCAUACUAGUUGAGAAAUUUGCCACCUUGCCUACCCCUGGAUUUGGAGAGUCAGCAAGCAGAUCAACUUGGCGCAGGAGAGGUGGCAGCUUUUCUAGCCGUGCAAUUUGUGUGCCUACUGCAUCACAGAAAAGGAAUUCUUCAGCUGAUUUAAGAACACCAUUAAGAAUCACAGACAGCUCUUUUGUUGGCAAGAGGA